GACGAACGCUGGCGGCGUGCUUAACACAUGCAAGUCGAACGGAAAGGCCCUGCUUUUGUGGGGUGCUCGAGUGGCGAACGGGUGAGUAACACGUGAGUAACCUGCCCUUGACUUUGGGAUAACUUCAGGAAACUGGGGCUAAUACCGGAUAGGAGCUCCUGCUGCAUGGUGGGGGUUGGAAAGUUUCGGCGGUUGGGGAUGGACUCGCGGCUUAUCAGCUUGUUGGUGGGGUAGUGGCUUACCAAGGCUUUGACGGGUAGCCGGCCUGAGAGGGUGACCGGCCACAUUGGGACUGAGGUACGGCCCCGACUCCUACGGGAGGCAGCAGUGGGGAAUAUUGCACAAUGGGCGGAAGCCUGAUGCAGCAACGCCGCGUGCGGGAUGACGGCCUUCGGGUUGUAAACCGCUUUCGCCUGAGACGAAGCGUGAGUGACGGUAAUGGGUAAAGAAGCACCGGCUAACUACGUG
rnacentral:rRNA from 1 species